AACAAAGUGAAUACAACUAUAUGUGAUGGAACUCUAACCCGCAUAUGCUGGGAAUCGUUCAUGUCCAUCACCUGUUCGAUCGUAGUAAAGGUGUCAUCCCCACGCUCUCUCGAAUACCAUUCGCCCUGGACUGUCUGCGAGAUAUGACAUCGUGGGUCGUAAUCGUAGUUUCCACCAAGCAGACUGGACGAGAAGGCUUCAGCGGUGAAGUUCGCGGUCGAACUGAAACUACAAUCGAAGUGGUAAUGCGGAGUACACCAAAAUAACGAAAAACAGAAGAUACCAAGUGAUCAGACAAGAUCUCGGUAAAUAUCGGUUGUGGUCGAAAUUGGUCCAAAAAACGUGGAACUUAACCUCGACGUAAACAACGUCACCAUGGACGAAAGUACUGAACAUUCGAAAACUGCCAAAGGCCGCGUUGAGUUGCAAAACCAAUUUACUUUACUCAACAACAUACACAAACAAAGAAGCAAACGAUUUAUAAGGAUGCCUCGUAUCUAGCACAUUUGAUACCCGUGUCAACUGGUGAUAUUUGCUGAGUUUUCGGCUGCCUAUAUGAACUCAAUAUAAAUUAAAAAGAAACUAUAGAGAACUUGUAUUACAUGCCAUUUUUUUUUGAUCCAUUAUUGAUGUUCUAGGGCCGCCUUGGUCAAUUUGAUUCGUGAAUGAAAGUAUCAGACAUAUGCGGGAAGUGAUACCCCAGAAAUAUAAACGCGUGGGCUGCCCAAGACAAAAAAAACGCUUUCUCUGAAUUGGAAAUAUCAUAUCUGCUGUGCACUUUUUUUCCUGUCAAGAAUAUAAAAAUUUCCAGGUGAGCAUGUUACAGAACGAACUCGUGUGGCACGUGAGGCGAGCCGUACAAACUGUAUUGCAUAGUCGUAGAGGAAUCACAGAGGGGUUUAGAUAUGAAGACAAGCCUCUUCCGGAUGUCUCCGCGCAGCGACGUCAAAAAGAAGCCAGCCUUAAGAUGACGCUGGUCUGUGAAAAAAACACAAUUUGACCUCUUCGAGAAGAAAGUAGUAAAUUUCGUUCUGCGCGGACAAAUCACUCAGAUGAAGACCGACACGGCCAUUUUAACUAAUAGCGAAGAAAUGACACUGGAAUUAAAGAUCGCUGAAAUGUAUAAAAAGCUGCAACUUUGUGCUGACGAGGUUUAUAUGAACUUUGGUGCUGGACGAAAGUGACCUGAAAAACGAAGUUUUGAGAAGCAUACCGCAGCAAACAUCAAAUAGUGCUGGAACUUAAAGGGAGGCACAUCAUAAAAAUCUAAAACACCUUCCUUAAAUAUGUCAGGCGGGGGAACAUGCUCCUUAAAACCUGCCACCAGCAGUCACUCAAAUGGGCACAGAAACCGUCCUAGCCGAGAUCCAGAAGCUAAUAAAAAAGCUUCCGGCUGAUACCGGAAGGCUACGAAGAAUAAAGGACAUGAGAGUUUAGACACGUGCUUGAUCACCCACAAGUAAAUAUAUGAUGAUAUUCGAGAACAGCUGGAAAUUCGUCAGCGGUUUAAACGUCGACAGCAAAAUAUUGACCUAUACAUUAUUUGGGCCUAAAUGACCUAGGAUAUUGAUAGACCUCUCUUCUCUGCUGAGCAGGAUUUACUCUAAAUCGAAAGCUGACGAUUCACUGUCCGCAUCAAUGCAAGCAUGACAAAUGCCCGUUUGACGUUAAAGAAAAUUCCUCAAGGACGAACUUCUACAGCUAAACCCCUAAAUGAAUGCAUCAGCAAGCGUCUAUGGAAAAUAUGAGUGGAAAUAGUGAUGACUCUAUAAAUACAGGGCUAUCGAAAUCUCUUA